rnacentral:lncRNA from 1 species
CUCACCUUACGUUUACAAUGAUAUGUAAAAGGAAAAAAGAAUUAAAAGAAAGAUAUAUCAGAAGGUGUUAUCCGAUGCUGCCACAAAGCUGUCCUCUUUGAAUCCACCGGAGAUUGUGCCGCUGACUCUUUCGCCUCCGGUCGUCAGCAAGAUCCGAGUCUCGUACCGUCGCCGGCGUUAGGUUUCCGUUUUCCUUGUUUUUGUAACGGUGGUUUCGUUUGUAGGCCCAAAAGCCCAAACUGAGAUUUAUUAAUAUAAUUUCAGUUUAAAAAAAAAAAAAAAAAAAAAAAAAAAAAAAGAGAAGAA